CGCGGGGUCCCGGGAGCCCCCCUGGCGCACCCCCGGGCGGGUACUUACAGUUCCCAUCUGCAGAGGGGGCAACUUUCACCGACCCCGCGGUGGCCGCCGCCCCCUCCAGCCUGUUCGGGCGCCCGGCACCCUCCGGCCUGGGUUCGCGCUGGCCUGCGCGCCCCUCCCCCGCUCUGGGCUCCGCUCAGUCUUCACCACAUUGCCCCCAGCUCAGCGGCGAGCGCCCGGGGAGCUGCCGGAGGGAGCGGGGCGCGAGGCUGAGCACGCAUCGCAGGGCUUCUUCUUGCAGCGCACACUGUACAUGGUAGUGUGGGGGCGAGAGAAGGUGGCACUGGCCCCUGGGCUCCUCCAGCGGCGGCGGCGGAGGCUGCGACUCCUACGCGGUCCUCCGCCUCCCGCGCGGCGACCACCGCGCUGGGCUCCCGCCGCCGCUGUCCCCAGCCUAGCCCGCCGCCACCGCGGCCCCUAAUUAGUAUUUGCACGGUUCCCGCAUCCUCUUGGCCGUUUCGUCGCUCUCGGCGUCUGCAGGGUUUGUUCCUCUCUCCCUUCCCCAGAUGCGGCGCUCGAUCGUCAUUAUUCGGAGCUCUGUAUCUCCGACCUCCUUCGGGGGUCUGAGGGGCUGGAGUAGCGCUGCUCUACGCCUGUGGCGCGUCCUGGCAGCCCGGAGGCUCAAAAAAACUCAGAGAAAGUCGCGUCUUCUCUCCUGGGCGAUGAGGAGGUGGCAGCACGAAAAGCAUCGUCCGGGUCUCUGAGACCUCUGCUCCGUGGCCGGCGCUGGGCCAGUCCGGUGCACUUGUUUAUUGUCGCGCUGCUGGUGCGAGCCACGCUGCCGCAGACAUGAUGGGCCCGGGGCGAAGCAGGCACGCGGCGGCCGAUAGGUGGCAGCCAAGAGCGCGAGCCGCGCUGGGCUCCAGAGGCUCAGCCGGAGCCCCCCUCGAAUGUCACAUCCUUGGGAGACAGAGGAGUCUGGGACCAUGUGCGUAACGCGAGCGUGGGAGUGUGCAGUUCUCGUAUUGGAGAAGGGAGGAGUGGAGAUAACCCCGACAGUGCUAGGCUUGGUGGUGGGGGUCAGGGGCAGAUGAUUCCAGCCCAGUGCUGCCCGCUUGCUGCUUGCUCCCUCUUCCAUUUAGAGUGGGAGAGCCCUUGCUGCCGUCUCCCACAACACUGUAGAGGACCCUGGAAGAGGGAGUGGUUCGUUCUAGCUGUAAAGAGGGAGCUACUUUUAUUUUUAAGAGUUACGUUUUUAUAACUAUGUUUGGGCAGUUCAAGGGAAUGUGAACGACUUUCAGAAAAAAAAUGGUUUGUGAAUGCACUGGGAAUGAACUAGAAGCUGGAAAAGCCCUAAAUAGAGGCAGUCUCAAUAGAAAGCGAGUUUCUUCAAGAGUCACCUGCUAAACUUCACUAGCUUCGUCUCUACAGUGAAGAACUUAGCUACAGAGAGGGAGAGAGAGAGAGAGCGAGAGAGAGAGGAAAUAAAAAUGCAUCCUGUGUGCGGAGCUGUCGCACUAAUAGUUAUCUCCAAGGAGCUUCACUAUUUGUGGAUUGAAACUCACAUGAACAUUCUGAUUUUGCUAUACCUGCUCAUUAUUUGAAGAACAACUCUUAUUGUAUUUAAGCUCCUGUUGGUGCUCUGCAUUCUGUGGAUUGAGCCAGCUUAAAUACAUUCCCUACUUCAUCUCCAGUUGGCCUUUUCCUUAUAGAUAGCCCUAUAUCUUCUUAUAAGAAUAACUGUCAUUGGCUUUUGGACCCACUCCAAAUAUGAUAUUUCAUUGCUGGUGUUAGAAAAAAUAAAUUGAUUUUGAAUGUUCUGUGCUGUCUGGGCCUGUCUUGCAAUUGAUCCUGGAUUUGAAGCUGACAACUGUGAACUAGUAGGAGAAUGCUGCCACAGGAGCUGCCAUGCCUGAAGAAAAUUCAAAAAAAGAAACUGGCACUAGGGUCCUUCACUGAGAAGUCUGCCUUCUUGACUGUCACCAUGCCAUGGGAGAGGUAGAGGAAGGGUAAGGAAAAACAAAACACCACAAGUAUUUUUUCUUUUAUAUGUUGCCUCAGUUUUGAGUCAGCAUUUGAUUUAUUGUCAUUUAACUGUUUCUUUUUUGUUUUCUUUUCCUGAUAAUGUUGGAUCUGCUUAUACUACUUUCAGUGUUUUUGGUGGCCCUGUGUUGGGGCCAGUUAUUCCAUUUUACUGAAGUUAGUACUUCUGAGUCUGCCUCAUGAUUUAUAAUGCUCAGUACUCCAAAGAGAGGACAAGCUGGUUUAAAGGUGAUAAAUUGUUCAAGUCACUGAAGCUGGGGUAACCAACAGUUUUCUCUCCAGAGGACUAGGAAAGAAUCCUACUUUGAAGACUGGGAGGCACUUAGAGUUCUGUGAUUUAGUUUUUUGGUCCAUUAGUUACUUAGCAAUAUGUUGCUCCCACAUGGUUGUGAUUUUUUUGUCAGUAAUUUCUACGUUUAUUUCACUGUGGUUGGAGUAUGUAUGUGUUAUGAUUUUUGUCCUUUGCAUUUGGUGAUAUUUAUUUUAUAGCUUGAUAAUCAUUCUGCUUAUGAAAAUGUUCCAUGAGAACUUGGGAAGAAUACAUAUUUGGUUUUGGGGGAUCAGGUGUUCAAUAAAUAUACAAUAGGUCAUUUGAUUUAAACAUUGUUUACUUCUAUUUCUUUGUUAAUCUUCUGCAUAGUUGCUAUAUACUUUAUUUAAAAAGGGGUACUGAAGUGUCCAAUUAUUAUUGCAGAAAUUUCUUUUGUACCUUCAUUUAUGUCAGUUUUGCUCAAUGUAAUUGGCUCUUUCUAUUUAGG
ensembl:lncRNA